AAUUUAAAUAAUCUGUUUCUUUUCUCAUGUGGUUACAUAACCCAGCUACUGCUUUGGGUGAUUUUUCAGAAUGUGUAACUAUUUCCCAGCUUUGUUUGUGUUUCAAAAUAAGUGAGUCUAGGUCUAGGAGAUUGUGCAGAAUUGCCCCUAUACUUGCAUCAUGGUAGUCGAAUGAAGCUUGGCAUUAUGUACAAACUUACAUUGCUAAUGCAUAUGUGUGUUUUGUCCUUUUUUUUUUUUUUUUCUUGAAUCCUCAUUGUUUCCAUAUUUGGUUUAGUGGGUUUGUAUGCAGUGGUGUAGGGGAUAAGUCCUGGGGAAAAAAGUGUGGGAACUCACUUAAAAUCCACGCUCACCCCAAAAAACAUUAUACGCUUGUAUGCAUAUAUAUUUCUCAGAAAAUAAAAAUAAAAUGUGAGUGCAGGACUGUAUCAGGG